ACACCGAUGGUGAAGUGGUUAUCAUGCUUGCCUUCCAUAAAAAGCUUGGUUGGGUUUGGUAAGCAAGCGGCACGGGUUCGAUUCCCGUUCGGUGUA